UACGAAGGGGGCUAGUGAUAUUCAGAAUUACUGGGCGGAAAGCGCACGUGGGCGGGUUAGUAAGUCAGGGGUGAAAUCCCGGGUCUCAACCUCGGAACUGCCUUUGAUACUGCUGAUCUCGAGUCCGGAAGAGGUGAGUGGAAUUCCUAGUGUAGAGGUGAAAUUCGUAGAUAUUAGGAAGAACACCAGUGGCGAAGGCGGCUCACUGGUCCGGUACUGACGCUGAGGUGCGAAAGCGUGUGGAGCAAACAGG
rnacentral:rRNA from 1 species